rnacentral:rRNA from 1 species
UACGAAGGGUGCAAGCGUUGUUCGGAUUUACUGGGCGUAAAGCGUCCGUAGGUGGUUUGUUAAGUCAGAGGUGAAAUCCCGGGGCCCAACCCCGGAACUGCCUUUGAUACUGGCAGGCUGGAGCGUGAUAGAGGAAGAUGGAACAUCUGGUGUAGGGGUGAAAUCCGUAGAUAUCAGAUAGAACACCAAUGGCGAAGGCAGUCUUCUGGAUCAUCGCUGACACUGAGGGACGAAAGCGUGGGUAGCAAACAGA